rnacentral:lncRNA from 10 species
AAAUUGUGCGGUUAACGGUCAAAGCCCCCCUGCCUACUUUGACACUCAUUUAAAGAUGACAGGGAACAAUAGAGAUUUGUUCUGUGCAACCCUUUCUUGUUAUGCCGGCGACAUCAGCUCCGCACAUGAAACUGCCCGAUAUUUCAUUCCACCUGCCACCUCCCUCCCGCCUCGGUCGACUCUCUCCUCUGCUACUUUGCUUGUCCCCACUUUAACACAAAGAGACAGCUCUGUGUUCACAGCACCUAACAGUGUUGAAAAAGAAUGCUAUUUAAAACCCGAGUUGAGACAUCACCUUUCCAAACCCAUGACUGCUUCCUGGCUCACUAAACACGAACCAGAAAUUAAUGCUGCAAAGAGCAGAGACAAGAGAUUCGACUGUGUUAGCCAGGAUGGUCUCGAUCUCCUGACUUCGUGAUCUGCCCGCCUCAGCCUCCCAAAGUGCUGGGAUUACAGGCUUGAGCCACUGUGCCUGGCUUCAGGCUGGGAUUUUUAUAGCUUAUUAUGGCAAGGGAGGAGACGGAGAGUAAAAGAAGAAGGAAGAGCAUACACAGUCACCCCUUGUGUGACAAAUAUGCAAGAAAUAAAGAUAAAUGUGUACAAUUCUUACAA